rnacentral:rRNA from 1 species
UUAAGCGACUAAGCGUACACGGUGGAUGCCCUGGCAGUCAGAGGCGAUGAAGGACGUGCUAAUCUGCGAUAAGCGUCGGUAAGGUGAUAUGAACCGUUAUAACCGGCGAUUUCCGAAUGGGGAAACCCAGUGUGUUUCGACACACUAUCAUUAACUGAAUCCAUAGGUUAAUGAGGCGAACCGGGGGAACUGAAACAUCUAAGUACCCCGAGGAAAAGAAAUCAACCGAGAUUCCCCCAGUAGCGGCGAGCGAACGGGGAGGAGCCCAGAGCCUGAAUCAGUGUGUGUGUUAGUGGAAGCGUCUGGAAAGGCGCGCGAUACAGGGUGACAGCCCCGUACACAAAAAUGCACAUAUUGUGAGCUCGAUGAGUAGGGCGGGACACGUGGUAUCCUGUCUGAAUAUGGGGGGACCAUCCUCCAAGGCUAAAUACUCCUGACUGACCGAUAGUGAACCAGUACCGUGAGGGAAAGGCGAAAAGAACCCCGGCGAGGGGAGUGAAAAAGAACCUGAAACCGUGUACGUACAAGCAGUGGGAGCCUCUUUUAUGGGGUGACUGCGUACCUUUUGUAUAAUGGGUCAGCGACUUAUAUUCUGUAGCAAGGUUAACCGAAUAGGGGAGCCGAAGGGAAACCGAGUCUUAACUGGGCGUUAAGUUGCAGGGUAUAGACCCGAAACCCGGUGAUCUAGCCAUGGGCAGGUUGAAGGUUGGGUAACACUAACUGGAGGACCGAACCGACUAAUGUUGAAAAAUUAGCGGAUGACUUGUGGCUGGGGGUGAAAGGCCAAUCAAACCGGGAGAUAGCUGGUUCUCCCCGAAAGCUAUUUAGGUAGCGCCUCGUGAACUCAUCUCCGGGGGUAGAGCACUGUUUCGGCAAGGGGGUCAUCCCGACUUACCAACCCGAUGCAAACUGCGAAUACCGGAGAAUGUUAUCACGGGAGACACACGGCGGGUGCUAACGUCCGUCGUGAAGAGGGAAACAACCCAGACCGCCAGCUAAGGUCCCAAAGUCAUGGUUAAGUGGGAAACGAUGUGGGAAGGCCCAGACAGCCAGGAUGUUGGCUUAGAAGCAGCCAUCAUUUAAAGAAAGCGUAAUAGCUCACUGGUCGAGUCGGCCUGCGCGGAAGAUGUAACGGGGCUAAACCAUGCACCGAAGCUGCGGCAGCGACACUAUGUGUUGUUGGGUAGGGGAGCGUUCUGUAAGCCUGUGAAGGUGUGCUGUGAGGCAUGCUGGAGGUAUCAGAAGUGCGAAUGCUGACAUAAGUAACGAUAAAGCGGGUGAAAAGCCCGCUCGCCGGAAGACCAAGGGUUCCUGUCCAACGUUAAUCGGGGCAGGGUGAGUCGACCCCUAAGGCGAGGCCGAAAGGCGUAGUCGAUGGGAAACAGGUUAAUAUUCCUGUACUUGGUGUUACUGCGAAGGGGGGACGGAGAAGGCUAUGUUGGCCGGGCGACGGUUGUCCCGGUUUAAGCGUGUAGGCUGGUUUUCCAGGCAAAUCCGGAAAAUCAAGGCUGAGGCGUGAUGACGAGGCACUACGGUGCUGAAGCAACAAAUGCCCUGCUUCCAGGAAAAGCCUCUAAGCAUCAGGUAACAUCAAAUCGUACCCCAAACCGACACAGGUGGUCAGGUAGAGAAUACCAAGGCGCUUGAGAGAACUCGGGUGAAGGAACUAGGCAAAAUGGUGCCGUAACUUCGGGAGAAGGCACGCUGAUAUGUAGGUGAAGUCCCUCGCGGAUGGAGCUGAAAUCAGUCGAAGAUACCAGCUGGCUGCAACUGUUUAUUAAAAACACAGCACUGUGCAAACACGAAAGUGGACGUAUACGGUGUGACGCCUGCCCGGUGCCGGAAGGUUAAUUGAUGGGGUCAGCGCAAGCGAAGCUCUUGAUCGAAGCCCCGGUAAACGGCGGCCGUAACUAUAACGGUCCUAAGGUAGCGAAAUUCCUUGUCGGGUAAGUUCCGACCUGCACGAAUGGCGUAAUGAUGGCCAGGCUGUCUCCACCCGAGACUCAGUGAAAUUGAACUCGCUGUGAAGAUGCAGUGUACCCGCGGCAAGACGGAAAGACCCCGUGAACCUUUACUAUAGCUUGACACUGAACAUUGAGCCUUGAUGUGUAGGAUAGGUGGGAGGCUUAGAAGUGUGGACGCCAGUCUGCAUGGAGCCGACCUUGAAAUACCACCCUUUAAUGUUUGAUGUUCUAACGUUGACCCGUGAUCCGGGUUGCGGACAGUGUCUGGUGGGUAGUUUGACUGGGGCGGUCUCCUCCUAAAGAGUAACGGAGGAGCACGAAGGUUGGCUAAUCCUGGUCGGACAUCAGGAGGUUAGUGCAAUGGCAUAAGCCAGCUUGACUGCGAGCGUGACGGCGCGAGCAGGUGCGAAAGCAGGUCAUAGUGAUCCGGUGGUUCUGAAUGGAAGGGCCAUCGCUCAACGGAUAAAAGGUACUCCGGGGAUAACAGGCUGAUACCGCCCAAGAGUUCAUAUCGACGGCGGUGUUUGGCACCUCGAUGUCGGCUCAUCACAUCCUGGGGCUGAAGUAGGUCCCAAGGGUAUGGCUGUUCGCCAUUUAAAGUGGUACGCGAGCUGGGUUUAGAACGUCGUGAGACAGUUCGGUCCCUAUCUGCCGUGGGCGCUGGAGAACUGAGGGGGGCUGCUCCUAGUACGAGAGGACCGGAGUGGACGCAUCACUGGUGUUCGGGUUGUCAUGCCAAUGGCACUGCCCGGUAGCUAAAUGCGGAAGAGAUAAGUGCUGAAAGCAUCUAAGCACGAAACUUGCCCCGAGAUGAGUUCUCCCUGACCCUUUAAGGGUCCUGAAGGAACGUUGAAGACGACGACGUUGAUAGGCCGGGUGUGUAAGCGCAGCGAUGCGUUGAGCUAACCGGUACUAAUGAACCGUGAGGCUUAACCUU